rnacentral:rRNA from 1 species
UACAGAGGUCCCAAGCGUUGUUCGGAUUCACUGGGCGUAAAGAGCUCGUAGGCGGUUCAGUAAGUCAGGUGUGAAAGCUCCGAGCUCAACUCGGAGAGGCCACCUGAUACUGCUGUGACUAGAAUCCAGUAGGGGAGUGUGGAACUCCUGGUGUAGCGGUGAAAUGCGCAGAUAUCAGGAAGAACACCAGCGGCGAAGGCGGCGACCUGGGUGGAUACUGACGCUGAGGUGCGAAAGCGUGGGGAGCAAACAGG